GACGAACGCUGGCGGCGUGCCUAAUACAUGCAAGUUGAGCGCUGAAGGUUGGUACUUGUACCAACUGGAUGAGCAGCGAACGGGUGAGUAACGCGUGGGGAAUCUGCCUUUGAGCGGGGGACAACAUUUGGAAACGAAUGCUAAUACCGCAUAAAAACUUUAAACACAAGUUUUAAGUUUGAAAGAUGCAAUUGCAUCACUCAAAGAUGAUCCCGCGUUGUAUUAGCUAGUUGGUGAGGUAAAGGCUCACCAAGGCGAUGAUACAUAGCCGACCUGAGAGGGUGAUCAGCCACAUUGGGACUGAGACACGGCCCAAACUCCUUCAGGAGGCAGCAGUAGGGAAUCUUCGGCAAUGGACGAAAGUCUGACCGAGCAAGGCCGCGGGCGUGAAGAAGGUUUUCGGAUCGUAAAACUCUGUUGGUAGAGAAGAACGUUGGUGAGAGUGGAAAGCUCAUCAAGUGACGGUAACGACCCAGAAAGGGACGGCUAACUACGUG
rnacentral:rRNA from 1 species